rnacentral:rRNA from 1 species
AUUGAACGCCGGCGGCAGGCUUAACACAUGCAAGUCGAGCGGAGAUGAGGUGCUUGCACCUUAUCUUAGCGGCGGACGGGUGAGUAAUGCUUAGGAAUCUGCCUAUUAGUGGGGGACAACAUUCCGAAAGGAAUGCUAAUACCGCAUACGUCCUACGGGAGAAAGCAGGGGAUCUUCGGACCUUGCGCUAAUAGAGGAGCCUAAGUCGGAUUAGCUAGUUGGUGGGGUAGAGGCCUACCAAGGGGACGAUCUGUAGCGGGUGUAAGAGGAUGGUCCGCCGCACUGGGACUGGGCAACGGCGCAGACUCCUACGGGAGGCAGCAGGGGGGAAUAUUGAACAAGGAGGGAAACCCGGAUCCAGCCAUGCCGCGUGUGUGAAGAAGGCCUUAUGGUUGUAAAGCACUUUAAGCGAGGAGGAGGCUACUGAGACUAAUACUCUUGGAUAGUGGACGUUACUCGCAGAAUAAGCACCGGCUAACUCUGUGCCCGCAGCCGCGGUAA